GCUGACCCCUGGCGAGCUGCGGCAAGUGCUCAUGAGCAUGGAGCCGCGGCGCCUGGAGCCUGCUCAUCUGGCGCAGCUGCUGCUCUUCGCUCCGGACGCCGAUGAGGAACAGCGAUAUCAGGCUUUCCGAGAGGCUCCCGGUCGCCUCAGUGAGCCGGACCAGUUCGUCCUGCAGAUGCUGUCGGUUCCUGAAUACAAGACCCGCCUGCGCAGUCUACACUUCCAGGCUACCUUGCAGGAGAAGACAGAGGAGAUACGAGGCAGCCUCGAGUGCCUGCGACAGGCGUCUCUGGAGCUCAAAAACAGCCGGAAACUCGCCAAGAUCCUGGAGGUCAAGCCAUUUCCCAUCCCUGUUCGUUUAAUCUGAUCGUUUUGUCUCCUGGGGCUCCCAGUCAGGAGAUCAG
rnacentral:lncRNA from 1 species